GACGAACGCUGGCGGCGUGCUUAACACAUGCCAGUCGAACGGAAAGGCCCUGCUUUUGUGUGGUGCUCGAGUGGCGAACGGGUGAGUAACACGUGAGUAACCUGCCCUUGACUUUGUGAUAACUUCAGGGAACUGGGGCUCAUACCGGAUAGGAGCUCCUGCUGCAUGUUGGGGGUUGGAAAGUUUCGGCGGUGGGGGAUGGACUCGCAGCUUAUCCGCUUGUUUGUGUGGUAGUGGCUUACCAAGGCUUUGACGGGUAGCCGGCCUGAGAGGGGGAACAGGGACAAUGGGACUGAGAGAGGGAGCAGAAGGGUAUGUGAGGCAGCAGGGGGGAAUAUGACACAACGGGCGGAAGUGUGAGGCAGAAACGUUGGGUGCGGGAUGAUCGGCUAUGGGGGGUAAACAGAUGUGGACGGUGACGAAGAGUGAGUGACGGUAAUGGGUAAAGAAGCAACGGCUAACUACGUG
rnacentral:rRNA from 1 species